AACGCGAAGAACCUUACCAGGGUUUGACAUAGUACGAAGUUUUUUGAAAAAAAAACCACCUUCGGGAACGUACAUACAGGUGGUGCAUGGCUGUCGUCAGCUCGUGUCGUGAGACGUCGGGUUAAGUCCCUUAACGAGCGCAACCCUUAUCACUAGUUGCCAGCGCGUCAUGGCGGGGACUCUAGUGAGACUGCCGGUGUCAAACCGGAGGAAGGUGGGGAUGACGUCAAGUCCUCAUGGCCUUUAUGAUUAGGGCUGCACACGUCCUACAAUGGUGCAUAUAAAGCGACGCAAACUCGCAAGA
rnacentral:rRNA from 1 species